rnacentral:rRNA from 1 species
UACAGAGGGUGCUAGCGUUGUUCGGAAUUAUUGGGCGUAAAGGGCGCGUAGGCGGCCCUGUGUGUCGGGUGUGAAAGCCCACCUCUUAAAGGUGGAAUUGCAUUCGAAACUACAGGGCUGGAGUGUCGGAGAGGAUGGCGGAAUUCCUGGUGUAGAGGUGAAAUUCGUAGAUAUCGGGAGGAACACCAGUGGCGAAGGCGGCUCUCUGGACAGGUACUGACGCUGAGACGCGAAAGCGUGGGUAGCAAACAGG